UUGAAGAGUUUGAUCAUGGCUCAGAUUGAACGCUGGCGGCAGGCCUAACACAUGCAAGUCGAACGGUAACAGGAAACAGCUUGCUGUUUCGCUGACGAGUGGCGGACGGGUGAGUAAUGUCUGGGAAACUGCCUGAUGGAGGGGGAUAACUACUGGAAACGGUAGCUAAUACCGCAUAACGUCGCAAGACCAAAGAGGGGGACCUUCGGGCCUCUUGCCAUCGGAUGUGCCCAGAUGGGAUUAGCUUGUUGGUGGGGUAACGGCUCACCAAGGCGACGAUCCCUAGCUGGUCUGAGAGGAUGACCAGCCACACUGGAACUGAGACACGGUCCAGACUCCUACGGGAGGCAGCAGUGGGGAAUAUUGCACAAUGGGCGCAAGCCUGAUGCAGCCAUGCCGCGUGUAUGAAGAAGGCCUUCGGGUUGUAAAGUACUUUCAGCGGGGAGGAAGGGAGUAAAGUUAAUACCUUUACUCAUUGACGUUACCCGCAGAAGAAGCACCGGCUAACUCCGUGCCAGCAGCCGCGGUAAUACGGAGGGUGCAAGCGUUAAUCGGAAUUACUGGGCGUAAAGCGCACGCAGGCGGUUUGUUAAGUCAGAUGUGAAAUCCCCGGGCUCAACCUGGGAACUGCAUCUGAUACUGGCAAGCUUGAGUCUCGUAGAGGGGGGUAGAAUUCCAGGUGUAGCGGUGAAAUGCGUAGAGAUCUGGAGGAAUACCGGUGGCGAAGGCGGCCCCCUGGACGAAGACUGACGCUCAGGUGCGAAAGCGUGGGGAGCAAACAGGAUUAGAUACCCUGGUAGUCCACGCCGUAAACGAUGUCGACUUGGAGGUUGUGCCCUUGAGGCGUGGCUUCCGGAGCUAACGCGUUAAGUCGACCGCCUGGGGAGUACGGCCGCAAGGUUAAAACUCAAAUGAAUUGACGGGGGCCCGCACAAGCGGUGGAGCAUGUGGUUUAAUUCGAUGCAACGCGAAGAACCUUACCUGGUCUUGACAUCCACGGAAGUUUUCAGAGAUGAGAAUGUGCCUUCGGGAACCGUGAGACAGGUGCUGCAUGGCUGUCGUCAGCUCGUGUUGUGAAAUGUUGGGUUAAGUCCCGCAACGAGCGCAACCCUUAUCCUUUGUUGCCAGCGGUCCGGCCGGGAACUCAAAGGAGACUGCCAGUGAUAAACUGGAGGAAGGUGGGGAUGACGUCAAGUCAUCAUGGCCCUUACGACCAGGGCUACACACGUGCUACAAUGGCGCAUACAAAGAGAAGCGACCUCGCGAGAGCAAGCGGACCUCAUAAAGUGCGUCGUAGUCCGGAUUGGAGUCUGCAACUCGACUCCAUGAAGUCGGAAUCGCUAGUAAUCGUGGAUCAGAAUGCCACGGUGAAUACGUUCCCGGGCCUUGUACACACCGCCCGUCACACCAUGGGAGUGGGUUGCAAAAGAAGUAGGUAGCUUAACCUUCGGGAGGGCGCUUACCACUUUGUGAUUCAUGACUGGGGUGAAGUCGUAACAAGGUAACCGUAGGGGAACCUGCGGUUGGAUCACCUCCUU
rnacentral:rRNA from 1 species